rnacentral:lncRNA from 1 species
UCUUAACCAAUGAAAAGAAUCUUUGGCAGAUAGCCUUUGAGUUUAAACUUCAUAUGCCCAUCUUUUCUCAGGACAAACCUAACCUUUCUUUCUGGGGAGAGAAGUUUCAUGUUGGAGGAUACACAAUCAUUGAGGAACUGAGAAAUAAAUAUUCAAGGGUCUUUUUCCUCAUACUAUCUCCCCUACAGGGACGAGCAUAAAAGGGGGUGAUCUCUGCUCCAGAACCUCUAUCACACGGAGAAUACAGCAACCCAAUCUCAGUAUUGAUCUGAUUCGAGGUCUGAACUCCACAAGGGUCUGG